rnacentral:tmRNA from 1 species
GGGGCUGCAAUGGCUUCGACGGGGGCAGUGAGGCUGGAUAAGCGGGCAGAGGCGCCUGACCUCUAUAAAAUGGGCAACUUUUUAAAUUAACUGACAACGAUAACUUCGUUCUGGCUGCUGCUUAAUUAGCGGCCCAUCCUCCCCGGAAGGACCACGAGCCGGGCUAGGGUGUGAUUUGAGUGGUGACCGUGCGUGCGCAAAGCUUUGAGCGCACCAUGAAUCAUGAAGCUACCAAGCCGCGUAGUGUGACGGUUCACGCCGCGGCGAGGGAAUGUAAAUAACCGUCUGCGCCCGGAGAAAGUCCUGUCAAGUUGUUUUCGGACGGGGGUUCGAUUCCCCCCAGCUCCACCA